rnacentral:rRNA from 1 species
GAUUGCCCUAGUAACGGCGAGUGAAGCGGCAACAGCUCAAAUUUGAAAUCUGGCCCUUUCAGGGUCCGAGUUGUAAUUUGUAGAGGGCGCUUUGGUGUUGGCUGCGGUCUAAGUUCCUUGGAACAGGACGUCACAGAGGGUGAGAAUCCCGUACGUGGUCGACAGUCUUCACCGUGUAAAGCCCCUUCGACGAGUCGAGUUGUUUGGGAAUGCAGCUCUAAAUGGGAGGUAAAUUUCUUCUAAAGCUAAAUAUUGGCCAGAGACCGAUAGCGCACAAGUAGAGUGAUCGAAAGAUGAAAAGCACUUUGGAAAGAGAGUCAAAAAGCACGUGAAAUUGUUGAAAGGGAAGCGCUUGCAAUCAGACUUGCCUGUAGUUGCUCAUCUGGACUUUUGUCCGGUGCACUCUUCUGCGGGCAGGCCAGCAUCAGUUCAGGCGGCUGGAUAAAGGCCUCUAUCACGUAUCUUCCUUCGGGAUGACCUUAUAGGGGAGGUGUAAUGCAGCCAGCCUGGAUUGAGGUCCGCGCAUCUGCUAGGAUGCUGGCGUAAUGAUUGUAAGCGGCCCGUCUUGAAACACGGACCAAGGAGUCUAACAUCUAUGCGAGUGUUUGGGUGUCAAGCCCGGACGCGCAAUGAAAGUGAACGGAGGUGGGAACCCUUACGGGUGCACCAUCGACCGAUCCUGAUGUCUUCGGAUGGAUUUGAGUAAGAGCAUAGCUGUUGGGACCCGAAAGAUGGUGAACUAUGCCUGAAUAGGGUGAAGCCAGAGGAAACUCUGGUGGAGGCUCGCAGCGGUUCUGACGUGCAAAUCGAUCGUCAAAUUUGGGCAUAGGGGCGAAAGACUAAUCG